rnacentral:rRNA from 1 species
GAUGAACGCUGGCGGCGUGCCUAAUACAUGCAAGUCGAGCGAACGGACGAGAAGCUUGCUUCUCUGAUGUUAGCGGCGGACGGGUGAGUAACACGUGGAUAACCUACCUAUAAGACUGGGAUAACUUCGGGAAACCGGAGCUAAUACCGGAUAAUAUUUUGAACCGCAUGGUUCAAAGUGAAAGUCGGUCUUUCUGUUACUUAUUGGUGGAUCCGCCGCGCUUUAGCUAGUUGGUAAGGUAACGGCUUACCAAGGCAACGAUGCAUAGCCGAUCUGAGAGGGUGAUCGGCAAAACUGGAACGGAGACACGGUCCAGACACCUAGGGGAGGCAGAAGUAGGGAAUCUUCGGCAAUGGGCGAAAGCCUGACGGAGCAACGCGGCGUGAGUGAUGAAGGUCUUCGGAUCGUAAAACUCUGUUAUUAGGGAAGAAAAUAUGUGUAAGUAACGGGGAACAUCUUGACGGUACCUAAUCAGAAAGCCACGGCUAACUACGU